rnacentral:lncRNA from 1 species
CACAAUUUACAGUAACAUUAAAUUUUACACAAUUAAAUCGGUAUGCCAGAAGAACUAGGCGAGACCCGAAUCUUAUAAAAUUACAACUGAUACAUCUACUAUUACUACUGCGGAGAAUCUAAGAUUUACCAAUUUACAUACCAAAUCAUAUACAUCACCCGAUGAUGAAGGAGUCGAGUUACUGAAUAAGAGUCGCGAGAAGACUAACAGUCACGUAUCUGAAAAAAAAUAAAUUGAGACUGUCAGUAUGGAGAGUGAGUUAAAAUCAAGUAAUCUAGAGAUUAUUGCAGUGUUCACAGAAAAUAUUAAUUAUUCGAAUUAGUAAUAUCAAACCAUGCACAUAUAUACAAAUCAUAUUAUAAUCAUACCAUAAUAAAUAAUAAAUAAAUAUACAUAUAUUUUUAUUUUUACGGGACGAGUGGCUCAAUAGAACCCUAACCCCAAAUUCUAGUAGCCUUUUGGCUCUCUUAAUCCAAUAAGACUGGCGCCCAGAGAGCAAUGCUCGACUAGGGACCUUACCUCCAGUCUGGUCACUUAAGUAUCCAAAUAUGCCAGCGCCCAGAGAGCAAUGCUCGACCAUGGACCUUACCUCUGGCAAUUUACUCAAAUCAGCCCAGAGAACCAUGCUCGACCAGGGCAAAACUCAUAAUAAUCUUAUUACCGCAAUUUACUCGAAUCAGCCCAGAGAGCCAUGCUCGACCAGGGCGAACUCAUAAAAAUCUUAUCACAUGUCCAUGAUCAUUACCGAUGAGCACGCGGUCCUGAUGUAGCCCAUCAGGCGGCAUGUUCUGCAAGGCCACAUUUUCCAAAUCGCAAUCAUCACAUUUAAUGAAUAUCAUUAUCUAAUUAAAUCAUCCAACAUAUUAUCAAAUUAAAGAUUAAAAAUUUAAUUCGUGUCGAAAAAUAAUAAUAUCAGUAUUAUUAUAAUGUUACUAAUAAUAAUAUUUAUAUUAUUUUCAAUAAUUAAUAAUCAAAUAAAAAUUCUUUAUAUUGCGAUACUAAUAAUCAUAUUAAGCAUAAAUUCUAAAAUAGCAUAUUAAAAUCAGACUUAGCAAUAGUGCAAUGAUUAAAUGAUUUUAACUCACAAGUUUGGCGACCUCCUAACUCUGCUCCGGUG